rnacentral:rRNA from 2 species
GCUGACACGUAGGUGAAGUGAUUUACUCAUGGAGCUGAAGUCAGUCGAAGAUACCAGCUGGCUGCAACUGUUUAUUAAAAACACAGCACUGUGCAAACACGAAAGUGGACGUAUACGGUGUGACGCCUGCCCGGUGCCGGAAGGUUAAUUGAUGGGGUCAGCGCAAGCGAAGCUCCUGAUCGAAGCCCCGGUAAACGGCGGCCGUAACUAUAACGGUCCUAAGGUAGCGAAAUUCCUUGUCGGGUAAGUUCCGACCUGCACGAAUGGCGUAAUGAUGGCCAGGCUGUCUCCACCCGAGACUCAGUGAAAUUGAACUCGCUGUGAAGAUGCAGUGUACCCGCGGCAAGACGGAAAGACCCCGUGAACCUUUACUAUAGCUUGACACUGAACAUUGAGCCUUGAUGUGUAGGAUAGGUGGGAGGCUUUGAAGUGUGGACGCCAGUCUGCAUGGAGCCGACCUUGAAAUACCACCCUUUAAUGUUUGAUGUUCUAACGUGGACCCGUAAUCCGGGUUGCGGACAGUGUCUGGUGGGUAGUUUGACUGGGGCGGUCUCCUCCUAAAGAGUAACGGAGGAGCACGAAGGUUGGCUAAUCCUGGUCGGACAUCAGGAGGUUAGUGCAAUGGCAUAAGCCAGCUUGACUGCGAGCGUGACGGCGCGAGCAGGUGCGAAAGCAGGUCAUAGUGAUCCGGUGGUUCUGAAUGGAAGGGCCAUCGCUCAACGGAUAAAAGGUACUCCGGGGAUAACAGGCUGAUACCGCCCAAGAGUUCAUAUCGACGGCGGUGUUUGGCACCUCGAUGUCGGCUCAUCACAUCCUGGGGCUGAAGUAGGUCCCAAGGGUAUGGCUGUUCGCCAUUUAAAGUGGUACGCGAGCUGGGUUUAGAACGUCGUGAGACAGUUCGGUCCCUAUCUGCCGUGGGCGCUGGAGAACUGAGGGGGGCUGCUCCUAGUACGAGAGGACCGGAGUGGACGCAUCACUGGUGUUCGGGUUGUCAUGCCAAUGGCACUGCCCGGUAGCUAAAUGCGGAAGAGAUAAGUGCUGAAAGCAUCUAAGCACGAAACUUGCCCCGAGAUGAGUUCUCCCUGAGACUUAGAGUCUCCUGAAGGAACGUUGAAGACGACGACGUUGAUAGGCCGGGUGUGUAAGCGCAGCGAUGCGUUGAGCUAACCGGUACUAAUGAACCGUGAGGCUUAACCUUACA